UACGUAGGGGGCAAGCGUUGUCCGGAUUUAUUGGGCGUAAAGAGCGUGUAGGCGGCUGGGUAGGUCCGUUGUGAAAACUCGAGCUCAACCUCGAGACGCCGAUGGAAACCCUCCAGCUAGAGUCCGGAAGAGGAGAGUGGAAUUCCUGGUGUAGCGGUGAAAUGCGCAGAUAUCAGGAAGAACACCCGUGGCUAAGGCGGCUCUCUAGUACGGUACUGACGCUGAGACGCGAAAGCGUGGGAGCAACAGG
rnacentral:rRNA from 1 species